rnacentral:rRNA from 1 species
GAUGAACGCUAGCGGCAGGCUUAAUACAUGCAAGUCGUGGGGCAGCAUGGUGUAGCAAUACACUGAUGGCGACCGGCAAACGGGUGCGGAACACGUACACAACCUCCCGAGAAGUGGGGAAUAGCCCAGAGAAAUUUGGAUUAAUACCCCGUAACAUAGUGAAAUGGCAUCGUUUUACUAUUAUAGUUUCGACGCUUCUUGAUGGGUGUGCGGCUGAUUAGAUAGUUGGCGGGGUAACGGCCCACCAAGUCUACGAUCAGUAGCUGAUGUGAGAGCAUGAUCAGCCACACGGGCACUGAGACACGGCCCGACUCCUACGGGAGGCAGCAGUAAGGAAUAUUGGUCAAUGGGCGAAAGCCUGAACCAGCCAUGCCGCGUGAAGGAUUAAGGUCCUCUGGAUUGUAAACUUCUUUUACCUGGGACGAAAAAAGGGAAUUCUUUCUCACUUGACGGUACCAGAUGAAUAAGCACCGGCUAACUCCGUGCCAGCCGCCGCGGUAACAC